rnacentral:rRNA from 1 species
ACGGAAUGUGCAAACGUUAUUCGGAAUCACUGGGCUUAAAGAGUCCGUAGGCGGCUUGUUAGGUGAGGUGUGAAAUCCCUCGGCCCAACCGAGGAAUUGCGCUUCAAACCGGCAAGCUAGAGGAGGAUAGAGGUGGGCGGAACUGAUGGUGGAGCGGUGAAAUGCGUUGAUAUCAUCAGGAACACCGGAGGCGAAGGCGGUCCACUGGGUCCUAUCUGACGCUGAGGGACGAAAGCUAGGGGAGCGAACGGGA